rnacentral:misc_RNA from 1 species
GUCGUUGCACUUUUGUCCGGUCGACCCAACCACCCGCCAUGCAACACGCGCACAUCCCCCCCCGCCCUGAAACACGCGCACAGCCCACCCCCUCCCUGAAACACACACGCGCACACACACACCCCCCCUCUCCCCGAAACACACCACCCCCCCUCCCCCAAAGACUAGAAAUCCCCGCRCCCUCCGGUGUGGUUCGGUGCCCCGUGCGUUCGUUGUCCCCAAUGCGUUCUCGCGGUAUCUCGUGCUCGGMGGUUUUCUGCUGUCGGYGUCCCAUCGACGACCCCUCCUUCCGCACUCCUUGGCCGCAAGGCCUCUGCGUGCGGGGGGAUGGGCGCGGUGCGCGCCGSUGCGGCGACCGUGUCGGCGCGUGAGCGGUCUCGGAUGCGCGUCCAGCGUCGGGCUCCCUGCCUCUUUGCGGCCGACCGUCGGUGGUUGCAUCCCUUCACUCAUGCUCGGAGGACCCUUUGUUGCCUCCCGUUGCGACCCGUCAGUUGCCCGUGCGGUCUACCCCCUUUGGGGGACUCGUCCAUGUCCCACGCGACCCUUGCGGCUACCCCGCCGCCRUUGCGGCGGGUGUCGUUCCUUCUUGCGGUCCUGCAGCGCCCUCUGUCUGGAGAGUCCCUCCGUGGCCUCCCAUUCCUCUGGGCCGCUCUUGGCUCCGUGUGCUCUUGCGGAUGCGGUGGAUUCGCCAUGCCGGGGCCCCCGUGGCCCCGCGUGUCCCGUCUCGAAUUGUUGCCUGCCCCGAUGCGACGACGUCCGGCCCGUCCCGGCGUCCCCCCUCCUCAGGUCGGCGGGAYGGUGGUGGCGGGGAUCCGGCGUCGCCCGAGGACGUGCUACCUGGUUGAUCCUGCCAGUAGUCAUAUGCUUGUCUCAAAGAUUAAGCCAUGCAUGUGCAAGUAUGAACUAAUUCGGACUGUGAAACUGCGAAUGGCUCAUUAAAUCAGUUAUAG